UAAAUUAUAAGCCAAAUCAGUAAUAUCUAAAGGCUGCUCAAUGCAGUUUCAAGCUUGUUUCCUGCCCUCGACCACUGGAGUUAUAAUAAUAGACAAAGAUAACAUGAAGUUCAAGAUUACAGAAUGUAUUCAAACUACAGAAUCAAGGAGGAAAUCAGAGACAGGUUUCCUUAAAGUGAAGUCUGAUGAACUGUCAAACUCAAAGAACCAGAAGAUCAAAACUAAGAUAAGGCUCCACAAAAUUGUAUGAUUGGAUUCAGCAUAAGUAUACAAAGAACAGGGAAAGGUUUACAGCUCAUCGGGAGCAAGUCUGACAGUCACAGACAGCGGCUUUCAGGCGAUCCUCACAGCAGCCUGAUACAGAUUUCAGAACUACUUCCAUG
rnacentral:lncRNA from 1 species